ensembl:lncRNA
CAGGAUAGAAUACAGUCCAGCCAAGACACUGAUCUCACUCUGUGAGGUCCUGAGCAGAGAACUUGACUACACCAUGCCCAGACCUCUGACUUACAGGAUCUGGAUCUGGAUUGGGUUUUGCAGAGUGGAACAAAUGGAACAAGGAAAAGAGCUGGUGGUGGUGAAUGUUGCAGUGUGUAAAUUAAAUUCCUAAUGACAUAAUUUGGUAAGUUUCUUCUUUUUCAGAAAGUAAGCUUGCAAGGAGUAAGCCUUAUUUCCUUGGAAACUUGGCACAUUCAGCAAUCUGCUUGUUUUUAUUUUGUCUUCC